GACGAACGCUGGCGGCGUGCCUAAUACAUGCAAGUAGAACGCUGAAGAGAGGAGCUUGCUCUUCUUGGAUGAGUUGCGAACGGGUGAGUAACGCGUAGGUAACCUGCCUUGUAGCGGGGGAUAACUAUUGGAAACGAUAGCUAAUACCGCAUAACAAUGGCUGACACAUGUCAUUUAUUUGAAAGGGGCAAUUGCUCCACUACAAGAUGGACCUGCGUUGUAUUAGCUAGUAGGUGAGGUAAUGGCUCACCUAGGCGACGAUACAUAGCCGACCUGAGAGGGUGAGCGGCCACACUGGGACUGAGACACGGCCAAGACUCCUACGGGAGGCAGCAGUAGGGAAUCUUCGGAAAUGGGGGCAACCCUGACCGAGCAACGCCGCGUGAGUGAAGAAGGUUUUCGGACCGUAAAGCUCUGUUGUAAGUCAAGAACGGGUGUGAGAGUGGAAAGUUCACACUGUGACGGUAGCUUACCAGAAAGGGACGGCUAACUACGUG
rnacentral:rRNA from 1 species